GAAAGAGAAGCGACGAUGAAGAGUGUAGGUCGCGUAGAGUGGCAGGGCAUGGUAACCGCAGCGGCGUGUAGCGGCGUCCACGCUAUGGCACGGGGCUUGGUGCGCUGGGGCUGGGAGGGGGUGGGAACAGGGACGAGGUGUCUAGAUUGAGGAGAAAGAAAGAAGAAAGAGACCACCGCUCGAGGAACACGCCCGCCGUACCAACAGUGGCUGCUCGAGGAACCCCACCUGAGGUACAUCGUACUUGCCCCCCAGCUGCGGCAGCUCGAGGAACCCGGUCGUGGUACCAGCAGGUGGUGAAAGGAAGAGCAGGAGGAGGCCGGUGCCAGUACCGCAUGAGCGUCGAGGUGCCGUUGUGCCGGCACGAUGUUGGUCACUAGCCGGUACGAUGUUGGCUGCUGACCUACACAAUGUUCCCUCCGCUGCCACUAAACACCGCCGCUGCAGCCACGACGCUAAAACGACCUCGGCCGUGGUCCUUUCUAUGGUGGUCGCUGCCUAAACGAUGUUGGUCACCCCCAGUAGGGUGCCGCCACCACUGGUGCCGGGCUGCCACCACGACGUUGGUCAAACAAAAAACGAUGUUGGUUGGGGUAAAAAACGAUGAUGACAGAAGCCAAAAACGACUUUUGUUGGUAAAAAACCAUGGCGUCAGAACUGAAAAAGACCUUGGCCACACACUAAAACGAAGGUGGUAUAGUACAAAAACGAUCUUGGCCGUAGAGGAUAAAAAAACCAAGGUGGGGGACACGCUCAAAAAAAAAAGACCUUGACCACGGGGUAAAGAAAAAAACGAAGGUGGCAUACAAACAAAACGACCUUAGCCGUUACUAAAAACGAUGGUGGUGAAAAAGUCAACAUUCGAUGCGCCAACAUGGUAAAACUAAGACGUUGGCUGCUGCUCCUACCGGCCGACGGUAGCCUCGACGCCGGCGGCGUGGUCUCGACGCCGGUAGAGGUACCCCUCGACGUUGGCACCCUCGUCCGACGACGUACGUACUUCGGCCGCUGCUGUUGGCUGUCGCUGCUGCCACUAGUCGCCACUCCCGCUGCUGCCGAUGGCCGCUGCUCGCGUUGUUGCUGGUCUCUUGUAGCCACAUUGGAGGGAAGAGGGAUGACAUUAGAGAUGAAUUUGUACCACGAGUUGAGGUAUAUAAUAAAGACUUACUAUAAACCGAUAGGAUACUACAAACUCAUCUAGGUAAAACAGUAUACCCAACUAUCUACUAGUACUAACCAUACUCAACAUAUAAAAAAACACGACAGGAUGUCACGGGAGACACAACGCGUUUGUCUCCCUAGGGGCGACAUCCCACAACGUUAUGCAAGUACCAAACGAAUACCACCCACCGCACUCACUGUAUUCGUGUAUAAGCUCAAACUUC
rnacentral:rRNA from 1 species